GAGUUUGAUCAUGGCUCAGGAUGAACGCUGGCGGCGUGCCUAACACAUGCAAGUCGAGCGAUUUACUUCGGUAAAGAGCGGCGGACGGGUGAGUAACGCGUGGGUAACCUGCCUCAUACACAUGGAUAACAUACCGAAAGGUAUGCUAAUACAGGAUAAUAUAAGAGAUUUACAUGGAUUUCUUAUCAAAGCUCCGGCGGUAUGAGAUGGACCCGCGUCUGAUUASCUAGUUGGUAAGGUAAUGGCUUACCAAGGCGACGAUCAGUAGCCGACCUGAGAGGGUGAUCGGCCACAUUGGAACUGAGACACGGUCCAAACUCCUACGGGAGGCAGCAGUGGGGAAUAUUGCACAAUGGGCGAAAGCCUGAUGCAGCAACGCCGCGUGAGUGAUGAAGGCCUUCGGGUCGUAAAACUCUGUCCUCAAGGAAGAUAAUGACGGUACUUGAGGAGGGAGCCCCGGCUAACUACGUGCCAGCAGCCGCGGUAAUAC
rnacentral:rRNA from 1 species